UACGUAGGGGGCAAGCGUUGUCCGGAAUCAUUGGGCGUAAAGAGCGUGUAGGCGGUCCGGUAAGUCCGCUGUGAAAGUCGGGGGCUCAACCCUCGAAUGCCGGUGGAUACUGUCGGGCUUGAGUACGGAAGAGGCGAGUGGAAUUCCUGGUGUAGCGGUGAAAUGCGCAGAUAUCAGGAGGAACACCAAUUGCGAAGGCAGCUCGCUGGGACGUUACUGACGCUGAGACGCGAAAGCGUGGGGAGCAAACAGG
rnacentral:rRNA from 1 species